rnacentral:rRNA from 1 species
CGAACGGGUAAGGAACGCGUGAGGAACCUGCCUCAAAGAGGGGGACAACAGUUGGAAACGACUGCUAAUACCGCAUAAGCCCACGGCUCGGCAUCGAGCAGAGGGAAAAGGAGCAAUCCGCUUUGAGAUGGCCUCGCGUCCGAUUAGCUAGUUGGUGAGGUAACGGCCCACCAAGGCGACGAUCGGUAGCCGGACUGGGAGGUUGAACGGCCACAUUGGGACUGAGACACGGCCCAG